rnacentral:rRNA from 1 species
GACGAACGCUGGCGGCGUGCUUAACACAUGCAAGUCGAACGGAAAGGCCCUGCUUUUGUGGGGUGCUCGAGUGGCGAACGGGUGAGUAACACGUGAGUAACCUGCCCUUGACUUUGGGAUAACUUCAGGAAACUGGGGCUAAUACCGGAUAGGAGCUCCUGCUGCAUGGUGGGGGUUGGAAAGUUUCGGCGGUUGGGGAUGGACUCGCGGCUAUCAGCUUGUUGGUGGGGUAGUGGCUUACCAAGGCUUUGACGGGUAGCCGGCCUGAGGGGGUGACCGGCCACAUUGGGACUGAGAUACGGCCCAGACUCCUACGGGAGGCAGCAGUGGGGAAUAUUGCACAAUGGGCGGAAGCCUGAUGCAGCAACGCCGCGUGCGGGAUGACGGCCUUCGGGUUGUAAACCGCUUUCGCCUGUGACGAAGCGUGAGUGACGGUAAUGGGUAAAGAAGCACCGGCUAACUACGUG